CCUACGGGUGGCAGCAGUGAGGAAUAUUGGUCAAUGGACGAGAGUCUGAACCAGCCAAGUAGCGUGAAGGAUGACUGCCCUAUGGGUUGUAAACUUCUUUUAUAAAGGAAUAAAACGAGGCACGUGUGCCUGUUUGCAUGUACUUUAUGAAUAAGGAUCGGCUAACUCCGUGCCAGCAGCCGCGGUAAUACGGAGGAUCCGAGCGUUAUCCGGAUUUAUUGGGUUUAAAGGGAGCGUAGAUGGGUUGUUAAGUCAGUUGUGAAAGUUUGCGGCUCAACCGUAAAAUUGCAAUUGAUACUGGCAGUCUUGAGUACAGUUGAGGUAGGCGGAAUUCGUGGUGUAGCGGUGAAAUGCUUAGAUAUCAAGAAGGACCCCGAUUGCGAAGGCAGCUUACUAAACUGUGACUGACAUUGAUGCUCGAAAGUGUGGGUAUCAAACAGGAUUAGAUACCCCGAGUAGUC
rnacentral:rRNA from 1 species